UACAGAGGGUGCAAGCGUUGUUCGGAAUUAUUGGGCGUAAAGCGCGUGUAGGCGGCUUGGCAAGUCGGGUGUGAAAGCCCUCAGCUCAACUGAGGAAGUGCGCCCGAAACUGCUUUGCUUGAGUGCUGGAGAGGGUCGCGGAAUUCCAGGUGUAGCGGUGAAAUGCGUAGAUAUCUGGAGGAACACCGGUGGCGAAGGCGGCGUUCUGGACUGCAACUGACGCUGAGAAACGAAAGCCAGGGGAGCAAACGGG
rnacentral:rRNA from 1 species